rnacentral:lncRNA from 1 species
AACAGCAGCGGCCGCGUCGGCGUCGCCGCCGCCUCACCCGGCCUCGGCACGGCGAGCAAGAGGAGGCAAACCAACAGCGCGGGAGGAGGGGGCAUGGCGGUGGUUGUGCGCACGCGAGUGGGGAGGCGGAUGGAUGGGUGCUUGGAUUUGGGUGUGGGGUUUCGGCUCGGCGUGCAUUUUAUGGGGGGAGUGACGAGUGGAGUGGUGGUGACGCAGGCCGGCGACGGGACGGGUCAGUGUCGCAGCAGGGAAGAAACCAAAGUCCUUUGUGCGUGUCGUCUUCCAGCGCCAGCUGGUUCGCCAUGGAGAUCAGUACCUCUACUGCUAGGUCUACUGAGACCCGAUUCAAAUUUCUAAUCUUGCUGCAUUUUGUAAGCCAGUUUGUAGUAUGUGUGUACGUAGACGCGUUGGGUUAAUUACAGUCCAAUAAUCUUGGAUACAAGCAUGAACACCACACCCUGUCUCUCGCUGUGUUUUGUGUCCAGCAA